UCGAGCGGUAACAUUUCUAGCUUGCUAGAAGAUGACGAGCGGCGGACGGGCGUAGUAAUGCUUGGGAAUAUGCCUUAGGGUGGGGGACAACAGUUGGAAACGACUGCUAAUACCGCAUAACGUCUACGGACCAAAGGGGGCUUCGGCUCUCGCCCUUAGAUUAGCCCAAGUGGGAUUAGCUAGUUGGUGAGGUAAUGGCUCACCAAGGCGACGAUCCCUAGCUGGUUUGAGAGGAUGAUCAGCCACACUGGAACUGAGGCACGGUCCAGACUCCUACGGGAGGCAGCAGUGGGGAAUAUUGCACAAUGGGCGCAAGCCUGAUGCAGCCAUGCCGCGUGUGUGAAGAAGGCCUUAGGGUUGUAAAGCACUUUCAGUAAGGAGGAAAGGUUAGUAGUUAAUACCUGCUAGCUGUGACGUUACUUACAGAAGAAGCACCGGCUAACUCCGUGCCAGCAGCCGCGGUAAUACGGAGGGUGCGAGCGUUAAUCGGAAUUACUGGGCGUAAAGCGUACGCAGGCGGUUUGUUAAGCGAGAUGUGAAAGCCCCGGGCUCAACCUGGGAACUGCAUUUCGAACUGGCAAACUAGAGUAUGAUAGAGGGUGGUAGAAU
rnacentral:rRNA from 1 species